rnacentral:rRNA from 1 species
CCUACGGGAGGCAGCAGUGGGGAAUAUUGGGCAAUGGGCGCAAGCCUGACCCAGCAACGCCGCGUGAAGGAAGAAGGCUUUCGGGUUGUAAACUUCUUUUAUCAGGGACGAAACAAAUGACGCUACCUGAUUAAUAAGCAACGGCUAACUACGUGCCAGCAGCCGCGGUAAUCCGUAGGUGGCAAGCUUUAUCCGGAUUUACUGGGGGUAAAGGGCGUGUAGGCGGGCUUGCAAGUCAGAUGUGAAAUUCCAGGGCUCAACCCUGGAACUGCAUUUGAAACUGUAGGUCUUGAGUGCUGGAGAGGCAAGCGGAAUGCGGUGUGUAGCGGUGAAAUGCGUAGAUAUACGGAGGAACACCAGUGGCGAAGGCGGAUUGCUGGACAGUAACUGACGCUGAGGCGCGAAAGCGUGGGGAGCAAACAGGAUUAGAUACCCCAGUAGUC